rnacentral:rRNA from 1 species
AUGGCGCGGUGGUGUCAGCUGGCGGCGGUGCUGCUCGCCGUGUCGAUGGCGGCGUCGACGACGGUGGCGCAGGACGCGCUGCAGACCAAGUGCCAGGAGGACCUGCAGAAGCUGUCAGACUGCAUGGACUACGCGACGGGGCACGAGGACACGCCGUCGGCCAAGUGCUGCGAGGACACGGCGGACACGCAGAAGUCGCGGCCCGAGUGCCUCUGCUCCAUCAUCCAGCAGGUGCACAGCGGCAGCCACGGCGUGCAGCAGCUCGGCCUCCGCUUCGACCGCCUCCUGGCCCAGCCCGCCGCCUGCAAGCUCCCCAACGCCAACGUUUCCCUCUGCAUCAACCUGCUGCACCUGACCCCGAGCUCGCCAGACUACGCUCUCUUCGCAAAUGCUUCCAAGAUUACUCCGUCCACUGCCGCGCCAGCGAGAGACACCGCCGACGGCUUCAAGGUUCCGACGGGGCUCGGUUAUGGCGUCGUGGCGGCGGCCGUCGUCUCUGCUGUCUUCUCAUCCAUCUUCUGA